rnacentral:rRNA from 1 species
UGGGGAAUUUUGGACAAUGGGUGAAACCCUGAUCCAGCCAUCCCGCGUGUGCGAUGAAGGCCUUCGGGUUGUAAAGCACUUUUGGCAGGAAAGAAACGUCAUGGGUUAAUACCCCGUGAAACUGACGGUACCUGCAGAAUAAGCACCGGCUAACUACGUGCCAGCAGCCGCGGUAAUACGUAGGGUGCAAGCGUUAAUCGGAAUUACUGGGCGUAAAGCGUGCGCAGGCGGUUCGGAAGGAAAGAUGUGAAAUCCCAGAGCUCAACUUUGGAACUGCAUUUUUAACUACCGGGCUGAAGUGUGUCAGAGGGAGGUGGAAUUCCGCGGGUAGGAGUGAAAUGCGUAGAUAUGCGGAGGAAAACCGAUGGCGAAGGCAGCCUCCUGGGAUAACACUGACGCUCAGGCACGAAAGCGUGGGGAGCAAACAGG